rnacentral:rRNA from 1 species
CAGUGGCGUACGGGUGAGUAACACGUGGGUAAUCUGCCUUUUAGUGGGGAAUAACGAUGGGAAACCGUCGCUAAUACCGCAUAAUCCCGAGAGGGGAAAGCAGCAAUGCGCUGAAAGAGGAGCCCGCGGCCGAUUAGCUAGUUGGUGAGGUAAGAGCCCACCAAGGCAGAGAUCGGUAGCCGGCCUGAGAGGGCACACGGCCACACUGGCACUGAAACACGGGCCAGACUCCUACGGGAGGCAGCAGUGGGGAAUCUUGCACAAUGGGGGCAACCCUGAUGCAGCGACGCCGCGUGAGCGAUGAAGCCCUUCGGGGUGUAAAGCUCUUUCGGCAGGGAAGAUGAUGACGGUACCUGCAGAAGCAGCUGCGGCUAACUACGUGCCAGCAGCCGCGGUAAUACGUAGGCAGCGAGCGUUGCUCGGAGUUACUGGGCGUAAAGGGUGUGUAGGCGGUUCUUUAAGUUUGGUGUGAAAUCUCCCGGCUUAACCGGGAGGGUGCGCCGAAUACUGAGGGACUAGAGUGCGGGAGAGGAAAGUGGAAUUCCUGGUGUAGCGGUGAAAUGCGUAGAUAUCAGGAGGAACACCGGUGGUGUAGACGGCUUUCUGGACCGUAAC